ACAGGCCCAUCAUGCUGUCUCUUUAGAAGGGUGUUUUUUACAAUACUCAAAGCAGUGGAAGAGGCUCCUUUCCGGGCUUCACUGGCCAAGUUCAGAGCACUGACAGCACUCAGAUCUUCUCAGGGACUUUUCAUAGCCUGAGGAAAUACACCUUAGUAACCCAAGUGGUGGGAGGUGAGGUUGUGGAAAGGAAGGUCUCAACAGAGACUUUUCUUGAACAGUGCAAGCUGUUCUCUGCAGACACGACACAGGGAAACCGCAGUAUAUAGAAACCGGGCCUCUAAGAAUUAUCUUUCACUUUACAUCGUAAGACUCAAACCUAAUUCUCACCCAGUCUGAACACUGACAACAUAUGCCUUCUACAAGUAGAAGAGCAUGCUUGGAAUCUCAACACUGAGGAAGCAGGAGGGUGAAUCCCUGGAACUCACUGCCCUACUCGUUGCUUUACUCUCUACCUACCAGAAGCAGAAGUACAAAUGUCAGGUGUCGUUUCUCAAGGCUGUUCCCCUGUUUCUGCCACAUUCCAAACUAAUGGAACCAAGUCUACAAAAACGGAAUCGGAAAAGGGAGUUGGAGCACUUUCCGUAAUGAGAGUGAAAUGGAGCAUUCUGGGUACAGAAAAUGGACUGUAUCGUCAUUGCAAAGAAAACCCCGGCAAGCGUCCCACAAAGCCGAGCUCAUCCAAGAGCUUUCGAGAUGAAAAUUGCAGCUUAUUUCCCUAACAGAGGCAAACCACUCCUGUACAGCACUCGUGAGAGCACAUCUUGGUAGAAAUAAAGCACCAUCUUUAACUACAUGGGCUGCUCACAGAACGGAGCAGCUACCGAAUCUAGUGUAAGGCCUACGGGUUAGAGCGGCCAGAGGUGACUUCCGCCUGGGCAGCUCACCGGCCCUGUGAGUGGAUGCUGUGUGAGUCCUCGUCGGAUAGUUUUGAAUGGAAACAGCAAGAAUGUGGUUUUAUCUCCCACUAAGAACAGAGGAGCUAUUCAGAAAUACUUGUGUCCUUACACUUUGACUGACAGGUAAUUGAGGGUGGUAUGUACCAAAAUCUAAAACAACAGCAAUAAUUGUGAACUCACAAGUGUUCAAGCAAGCAAAUCUGUUUUUAAAAAACAAAACAAAAAACAAAACCAGAGAUGUUCAGAGAACAUCCGGAGAAGUUACUCAAUUUAUCGGUAAGGUCAAGAGUCAAACAGAAUCUAAAAUAAAACACGUUUCCCCUAAGA